rnacentral:rRNA from 1 species
GCCUACGGGGGGCAGCAGUAGGGAAUCUUCUACAAUGGGCGAAAGCCUGAUGGAGCAACGCCGCGUGGGUGAAGAAGGUCUUCGGAUCGUAAAACCCUGUUGUUAGAGAAGAAAGUGCGUGAGAGUAACUGUUCACGUUUCGACGGUAUCUAACCAGAAAGCCACGGCUAACUACGUGCCAGCAGCCGCGGUAAUACGUAGGUGGCAAGCGUUAUCCGGAUUUAUUGGGCGUAAAGGGAACGCAGGCGGUCUUUUAAGUCUGAUGUGAAAGCCUUCGGCUUAACCGGCGUAGUGCAUUGGAAACU